CUUAUCUGUCUGGACAUCAUUCUACCCUGCAUUCUCCUUCCCUACCACACUGAACCACUGGUAGCGCCAGAAAACCUGAAUAUUUCAUGUUAGCAAGGAUGGGUUCUUAUCACAGCAGGCCUGUCAGAGAGAUGGGGAAAUAUGCCAGGUGAUAGGCACACAAGUAUGGGCAACGGGAAUGUCGAGAGAUGAGACUAAAAGGGCCACGUAGUGAAGGGCCUUGAAUUUCACACAAGAGAGUUCGGAUUGAAUCCUUAAGAAUUAAUGGAAGCAUUAUGAAGGGAGACUAAAAAAGCAUUGUGCGGAUUUAGAUUUUAGCUCUCUACAGGCGAGUAGUAGAAUGGGAGGGGUGGGGUGGGGAGGAAUGAAUGGCAAAGGCUUAAUUUAAGACAAUGAAGUGAAAGGGGUGGAAAUGUGAAUUAUCAAAGGAUAGAAUAAAGAGGAUUUCCCAGCACUUUGGGAGGCUGGGGAGGGCGGAUCAUGAGGUCAGGAGAUCGAGACCAUCCUGGCUAACAUGGUGAAACCCCGUCUCUACUAAAAAUACAAAAAAUUGGCCGAGCAUGGUGGCGGGCGCCUGUGGUCUCAGCUACCUGGGAGGCUGAGGCAGGAGAAUGGCGUGAACUCGGGAGGCGGAGCUUGCAGUGAGCCAAGAUUGCACCACUGCACUCCAACCUGGGAGACAGAGAGAGACUCCGUCUCAAAAAAAAAAAAAAAAAAAAGAGGAUUGGGUCGUUGAUUGAACAUGCAAGGAAAAAAAAAGAUAAGGAUGAGUUCCAGUUUCUUUUCUUUUCUUUCUUUCCUUUUUUUUUUUUGUUUGAGACCAGGUCUUGCUCUGUUAUCCAGGCUGGAGUGAGUGCAGUGGGGCAAUCAUAGUUCACUGCAGCCUUGAGCUCCUGGGCUCAAGGGAAUCCCCCUGCGUUGGCCUCCAAUAAUGUUGGGAUUACAGGUGUGAACCACCACACCCGGCCCCAGUUUCUGGGGCGCAUUGUGAUCCCAGAGACUGCUCCAUUAUACUGCCUCUCUAAGAGUCAUUCUAUUUAGGGUGUUUUCACUGAAUCAGACAUGAUUCUUGGUUGGAAGUAACAGAAGCCAUCUCUGGCUGUCUUAAGAAGUAUUUAUGAAAGGUCUGUGAGAGAGUGCUAGCUGUUAUUUAAUUUCUAUUCUGUCCUUUUUACUCAGGAAAGAGUAGAAAUGUUCCAGUAAGAACCCUUGGCACAUAAGACCACUUUCCCCAGCCUCCCUUGCAGCUAGGUCUAGCCAUGUGACUAAGUUCUGGCCAGUGGGAUAUAAACAGAAGUAAUGUGUGCAACUUCCCACACUUAUCCUUUUUUUUGUUUUUGAGACAGGGUCUCACUCCAUCAUCCAGGCUGGAGUGCAGAGGCACAGUCUCAGCUGACUGCAACCUCUGCCCCACCCUGUAGCUCAAGCGAUCCUCACACCUCAGCCUCCUAAGUAGCUGGGACUACAAGUGCGUGCCACCAUGCCUGGCUAUUUUUUUUUUUUUUUUGAGAUAAGAGUCUCAUUCUGUCGCCCAGGCUGGAGUGACAUGGUGUGAUCUUGUCUCACUGCAACCUCUGCCUCCCAGGUUCAAGUGAUUCUCCUGCCUUAGCCUUCCAAGUAGCUGGGUUACAGGUGUGUGCCACCACACCUGGAUGAUUUUUGUAUUUUUAGUAGAGAUGGGGUUUCACCAUGUUGCCCAGAUUGCUCUUGAAUUCCUGAGCUCAAGUAAUCCACCUACCUCGGCUUCCCAAAGUGCUGAGAUUAUAGGCGACAGCCACUGCACCCAGCCUAAACUUAUCCUUAAAGGGUGAAGGUAUAUACUUCUUCCUUUUUCCCAUUACUUAUGUGAUGGCUGCAGCUCCAUCUUGGACCAUGAGGAAGUCCAUACCUUGGGGAUGGCAAAGCAGACAGAGUAUUCUGGGUUCCAGAUCAACCACAGCAUCCUAAAAUGCCUAUGUUCAAACUUUUAUGUGAAAGAGAAAUAAACUUGUGCCUUAAGUAUCCAUUAUUUUUGGUUUCUGUUACAUGCAACAGAACCCGUAUCUCAAUAACACAGGUAGGCAUCAGAGACUAACCAAAAUGACAGAAGGCUAGAGAGCUUUGAAUACAGUUGGAUACAGGGGCGCCAUGGAGAUGAGGCAGCAGAGACUGCCCAGCCUCAGUACCACGCUCCUGCUGCUGGGAGCAAUCUGACUCCCAGGUGGCCCCAGUCUGGUUCACUCACUCAAGAUGCAAAAUCCUGGUAGGGAGCAGUUUAUUGCUCAAAUUGGGUCAUGUGUCUCCUCCUUAGGGGCACCAAAGGUCAGCUGGAGGAAGGACCUAGCCCUCUGCUUCUGUAUUGGGCAUGAGCAUUGGGAGUUGUGUUCCAGGGAUAGCCCAUGCAUUAACAAAACAUACAACAGGAAAUUCUUUCCAAGGGAAGAUUGAGCUGCUGAUAGGAAGGGGGAAGGGGAGAAUGCUGGACAGCCAGAAAAACACAACAUAUGUCUACUACAUUUAACUUCUUAUCCAUACUGAAUCAUGGCAAAUUAAGAGAGGCUUUCAUUAUUUAUUUUCCCAUUUAACUUAAAGCUUUCUUAUUUCAGUGGACCCAUUUUGCCUUAAAACAUUGCAAUUUUCUUUCACAGUACCCUUUAAGUGGCACACAUUACUUCUAAAUUCUGUUGCAAGCAAAGAUAUUCACAGGCUGCUUAUAGUACUCAUAUGCUAUACCUUCCUUUUUGGCAAUAGAAUCAUGGAAAAUAAUGGCAACAUUGUAUAAAAGCUACAAUCAAAAUUCUGUCCUGGGAUCUUUAAAAUACUUCUUAAGAAUAGCAGGAGUAUUUUCUAUAUAUAAAAAGAAAUCUUACCAACUAAAAUGUU
rnacentral:lncRNA from 1 species